rnacentral:rRNA from 1 species
AUUGAACGCUGGCGGCAUGCCUUACACAUGCAAGUCGAACGGCAGCACGGGAGCUUGCUCCUGGUGGCGAGUGGCGAACGGGUGAGUAAUAUAUCGGAACGUACCCUAGAGUGGGGAUAACGCAGCGAAAGUUGCGCUAAUACCGCAUACGAUCUACGGAUGAAAGUGGGGGAUCGCAAGACCUCAUGCUCAUGGAGCGGCCGAUAUCUGAUUAGCUAGUUGGUGGGGUAAAGGCCUACCAAGGCAUCGAUCAGUAGCUGGUCUGAGAGGACGACCAGCCACACUGGGACUGAGACACGGCCCAGACUCCUACGGGAGGCAGCAGUGGGGGAAUUUUUGGGACAAUGGGCGCAAGCCUGAUCCAGCAAUGCCGCGUGCAGGAUGAAGGCCUCGGUGU